GUCCCAGUAGGCGAGCGGUCUAAGCCCCCACCCUUUCACGGUGGUGAUCGCCGGUUCAAAUCCGGCCUGGGACUCCA
rnacentral:tRNA from 1 species